CCAAGUUUUUAAGGGCGCACGGUGGAUGCCUUGGCACCAGACCAGGAACCGAUGAAGGACGUGGGAGGCCACGAUAGUCCCCGGGGAGUCGUCAACCAGGCUUUGAUCCGGGGGUUUCCGAAUGGGGAAACCCGGCAGUCGUCAUGGGCUGUCACCCGCUGCUGAACACAUAGGCAGUGUGGAGGGAACGCGGGGAAGUGAAACAUCUCAGUACCCGCAGGAAGAGAAAACAACCGUGAUUCCGGGAGUAGUGGCGAGCGAAACUGGAUGAGGCCAAACCGUAUGCGUGUGAGACCCGGCAGGGGUUGCGUAUACGGGGUUGUGGGAUCUCUUUUCUGUCGUCUGCCGGCGACAGGACGAGUCAGAAACCGUUGAUGUAGGCGAAGGACAUGCGAAAGGUCCGGCGUAGAGGGUAAGACCCCCGUAGUCGAAACGUCAGCGGCUCGUUUAAGAGACACCCAAGUAGCACGGGGCCCGAGAAAUCCCGUGUGAAUCUGGCGGGACCACCCGUUAAGCCUAAAUAUUCCCUGGUGACCGAUAGCGGAUAGUACCGUGAGGGAAUGGUGAAAAGUACCGCGGGAGCGGAGUGAAAUAGUACCUGAAACCGUGUGCCUACAAGCCGUGGGAGCGUCGGAUGGAAGCUUGCUUCCAUCUCGUGACUGCGUGCCUUUUGAAGAAUGAGCCUGCGAGUUUGCGGUGUGUUGCGAGGUUAACCCGUGUGGGGAAGCCGUAGCGAAAGCGAGUCCGCCAGGGUUGAAAACCUGGGGGAUGACCUGUGGUUAGGGGUGAAAGGCCAAUCAAACUCCGUGAUAGCUGGUUCUCCCCGAAAUGCAUUUAGGUGCAGCGUCGUGUGUUUCUUGCCGGAGGUAGAGCACUGGAUAGGCGAUGGGCCCUACCGGGUUACUGACCUUAGCCAAACUCCGAAUGCCGGUAAGUGAGAGCGCGGCAGUGAGACUGUGGGGGAUAAGCUCCAUGGUCGAGAGGGAAACAGCCCAGAGCAUCGACUAAGGCCCCUAAGCGUACGCUAAGUGGGAAAGGAUGUGGAGUCGCAGAGACAACCAGGAGGUUGGCUUAGAAGCAGCCACCCUUGAAAGAGUGCGUAAUAGCUCACUGGUCUAGUGAUUCCGCGCCGACAAUGUAGCGGGGCUCAAGCGUACCGCCGAAGUCGUGUCAUUCAUACAUGAGGGCCAACGCCCGUGUGGAUGGGUAGGGGAGCGUCGUGUGCCGGGUGAAGCUGCGCCGGAAGGCAGUGGUGGACGGUUCACGAGUGAGAAUGCAGGCAUGAGUAGCGAUACAUACGUGAGAAACGUGUGCGCCGAUUGACUAAGGGUUCCUGGGUCAAGCUGAUCUGCCCAGGGUAAGUCGGGACCUAAGGCGAGGCCGACAGGCGUAGUCGAUGGAUAACCGGUUGAUAUUCCGGUACCCGCUGUGAAGCGUCAAACAUCGAAUCCAGUGAUGCUAAGGCCGUGAAGCCGCCCUGAUCUCUUCGGAGUUGAGGGGAGUGGUGGAGCCGCUGACCCGAUCUGGUAGUAGGUGAGUGAUGGGGUGACGCAGGAAGGUAGUCCAGCCCGGGCGGUGGUUGUCCCGGGGUAAGGGUGUAGGACGUGAUCCAGGCAAAUCCGGAUCACACAUAGUCUGAGACCUGAUGCCGAGCCGAUUGUGGUGAAGUGGAUGAUCCUAUGCUGUCGAGAAAAGCCUCUAGCGAGUUUCAUGGCGGCCCGUACCCUAAACCGACUCAGGUGGUCAGGUAGAGAAUACCGAGGCGUUCGGGUGAACUAUGGUUAAGGAACUCGGCAAAAUGCCCCCGUAACUUCGGGAGAAGGGGGGCCAUUCCUGGUGAUGAGAUUUACUCUCUGAGCUGGGGGUGGCCGCAGAGACCAGCGAGAAGCGACUGUUUACUAAAAACACAGGUCCGUGCGAAGCCGUAAGGCGAUGUAUACGGACUGACGCCUGCCCGGUGCUGGAACGUUAAGGGGACCGGUUAGUCACUCUUCGGGGUGGCGAAGCUGAGAACUUAAGCGCCAGUAAACGGCGGUGGUAACUAUAACCAUCCUAAGGUAGCGAAAUUCCUUGUCGGGUAAGUUCCGACCUGCACGAAUGGCGUAACGACUUCUCGACUGUCUCAACCAUAGGCCCGGUGAAAUUGCACUACGAGUAAAGAUGCUCGUUUCGCGCAGCAGGACGGAAAGACCCCGGGACCUUUACUACAGUUUGAUAUUGGUGUUCGGUUCGGCUUGUGUAGGAUAGGUGGGAGACUGUGAAGCGGGCACGCCAGUGUUCGUGGAGUCGUCGUUGAAAUACCACUCUGGUCGUGCUGGAUGUCUAACCUGGGUCCGUGAUCCGGAUCAGGGACAGUGUCUGAUGGGUAGUUUAACUGGGGCGGUUGCCUCCCAAAGGGUAACGGAGGCGCCCAAAGGUUCCCUCAGCCUGGUUGGUAAUCAGGUGUUGAGUGUAAGUGCACAAGGGAGCUUGACUGUGAGACUGACGGGUCGAGCAGGGACGAAAGUCGGGACUAGUGAUCCGGCGGUGGCUUGUGGAAGCGCCGUCGCUCAACGGAUAAAAGGUACCCCGGGGAUAACAGGCUGAUCUUCCCCAAGAGUCCAUAUCGACGGGAUGGUUUGGCACCUCGAUGUCGGCUCGUCGCAUCCUGGGGCUGGAGUCGGUCCCAAGGGUUGGGCUGUUCGCCCAUUAAAGCGGUACGCGAGCUGGGUUUAGAACGUCGUGAGACAGUUCGGUCCCUAUCCGCUGUGCGCGUAGGAGUCUUGAGAAGGGCUGUCCCUAGUACGAGAGGACCGGGACGGACGAACCUCUGGUGUGCCAGUUGUUCUGCCAAGGGCAUGGCUGGUUGGCUACGUUCGGAAAGGAUAACCGCUGAAAGCAUCUAAGCGGGAAGCCUGCUUCGAGAUGAGGACUCCCACCCCCUUUGAGGGGUUAAGGCUCCCAGUAGACGACUGGGUUGAUAGGCCAGAUAUGGAAGCCCUGUAAGGGGUGGAGUUGACUGGUACUAAUAGGCCGAGGGCUUGUCCUC
rnacentral:rRNA from 1 species